UACGGGGGGGGCAAGCGUUGUUCGGAAUUACUGGGCGUAAAGGGCUCGUAGGUGGCCAACUAAGUCAGACGUGAAAUCCCUCAGCUUAAACUGGGGGAACUGCGUCUGAUACUGGAUGGCUUGAGUUUGGGAGAGGGACGCGGAAUUCCAGGUGUAGCGGUGAAAUGCGUAGAUAUCUGGAGGAACACCGGUGGCGAAGGCGGCAUCCUGGACCAACACUGACACUGAGGAGCGAAAGCCAGGGGAGCAAACGGGG
rnacentral:rRNA from 1 species